rfam:Triticum urartu cultivar G1812 contig1177990, whole genome shotgun sequence.
CUACUACUCCCUCCGUCUGAAAAUACUUGUCAUCAAAAUUGAUAAAAGGGGAUGUAUCUAGAACUAAAAUAGUCUAGAUACGUCCCCUUUUGUUCAUUUUGAUGACAAGUAUUUCCGGACGGAGGGAGUAUUUU